CUAGUGCCCAGGAUGGUGUUAAAUAUACUUUGAGCGUUUCUACUAUGAAAACAAAUAAAAUCUGAGGCACAAU